rnacentral:lncRNA from 1 species
AUUAACUUCAGCAGAGUUACGCUGGAAGUGAAUUUGUCCCCAGGAGGCUUUUCGAAAUGCUCGGCUCUUUCCUUAUGAUUACCCAGAGGAGCGGAGGAGAAGGCAAGACAGAGGGCCCUUUGAUAGGAGGAAUGUGGUUCAAAGCAAAGUCUUGUUCCCGCCGUUCGUGGUGCUCCAUCUGUUCCUCAUUUGGGCUGGAGGUGGGUCAGGGCCCGCAGAGGCACGCGUGCUGUGGCUGAGGGGCAGGCAGGGGCUUUGCACAGCACAUCUGGUGCGCAGGUUAUGUUCCUUCCACGGCUGGAAAACAGCGGGAGGAAUGUUCGGAUACUUCACGCAUACUUCUGCGGAACUGCUUGGAAGUCAGAAAAUGGAGCAGCCGAAUGUUAAGGUCUGGCUUCCCUGAAGUCAAGAUGGUUUCCUCAGCUGGAGGAGGGAGAUCUUGUGCCAAGAUUGGCCUGCCAGGACCAAAAAAUUUGGAUCUGAAUUAGAUUAAGAAGAAAAUGAAUUUACCCCAUCUGUAUAUUUGGUUCCUGAUUUCUCUCGCUUCCAUUUUAUGAAUUACAAAUAAAUGGACUCCCGUGAUGUUGGUCUGAAAGGAAACCCAAGUCCUCAUCUCUACUUGCUGAUGAAAUUGAUGGUUUUUUUCCUUCUCUUCUGGUUUUGAAAAGAAAAUAACCAAAAUAAACAUCAAGGGAAAAAGCCAAUAACUUCUAACACAGCCAGUGAAGUGUAAAGAGCUGCAUGUUGGAAGGGAAAAACUGAACACAUUUGGGAAGUGCUGGGGAGCAAUUCAGGAUCCAACACAUUGGGUGGGAUGGUUACUGUGAGGAGCUGAUAUUUGUGUAUUUUAUGGGACAACCUUUUGCAAGUUAGAUAGAAACCACUCGUACUCUCUAUUACUACGCUUAGACACAAGCUUCCUGGCACCAACUUAUUCUACAUAUAAGAACCAACUGCAAAGUAUAAUAAGAGAACGUUCAGCCUACUCUUUUAUAGAUGAUUGACAAAAUGGUUUUAAAAGUGGCCUCAUCCUUGCCACAUUUAAAGACACAGAGAAGAGCCCUCAACGACUGCUCUGGGAUGAUUUGGGUUCGUUUGGAGCGUGCGGAGGAGGGCAGCUUUUUGCCUUAGGAGGUCUCACGGUCAUUGGAAUUGAAAGGAAGAGAGCAUUGGGUUGGGGUCUUUUUUAACCAAAUGUAUUAUUUGUCCAAAUUGUUUAUUAGGUAUUCAAUGAAGUGGAGUUUAACAACAAAAAUAAUAAAUCUGAGCGUUUUCAGCACUCUGGCUUAAAGUGCUUUCCCUUCACAGCUGCUUGUCUUUGCAAUUUUAUAUCCAGUGAUAUUAUAAUGACAUUAAUUUUCCAGCUGUCAGGGGAAUUUCAAAGCUGAUUCUGUGCUUCAAAUGUAAAAAUCAAGAAUUCCCAGCAGCUUUUUUUGGUUAAACUUCUGGAUAACAUUUCAAAAUGGUUCUUUGUCAAAG